CGGUGUCAAACCCUCACUGCUGGUGUCUGAAACACAAAUCACAAAAAGGAGGCAGUUACCGUGUGUGUGGGAGAGUUGGCUCGGAUCCAGUUUCCUGCCCAUCAGAGGAAGAACCAAGGCAUUCCAGAGUCCACGGGACAUUAUGUGUUCCCGUCAUAAGCAGGAUGCCAGGAAUUCCGCCCGUGUCCCACUCCAGUUAUAAUUUCAUGUACCCCGGGGGGCCACCAAGCUGUCAAACACUGCCGCCUCCUCGGGCAACGUGAGCCACUCCAAAAACACAACAGCAAUGACAACAUCUAGGGGGGAUGACUGUAUCCCCAAAUGACGAACAUCACCUGGAGCUUGUGUCAGAUGACAAGGUACAAGGUAGAUGCUACUAUGGACAACCCUAUCUGUGGGGUAAGCCCUCACACAGGAGUUUUGGGGAUUCAGAGAGGACACCCAUGGUGAGCCAAUGAGCCUUAAACCAUCAGCAAAGGAUACAGCUGUUUGGGAUAUUAUGAAGUAAAUCGAGGAGAAAGAAACACCAUGGAAUGUCCUUUCCAUUGCUUCCUAGAUAACUGAAGAGACUCUGGUCAAGAGCUCAGGGAGAUUGUGUGGAAUACAGGUUUGAGAAUAGUCAAGCACAGUUUGUGUGUUCUACAAGAGUGAUUCUACUCAUGGAUUACAUAUGCACCAAUGAUGUUGAAUCCAGGCUAUUAUGUUUGUUUGUUUGUUUGUUUGUUUGUUUCAUUUAUUGUCCACAAUGUGAAAAUUUGUCUUUGGUCUCAUUAAAACAACAAGCAGGACGGCAACAACAACAACAACAACAACAACACUUACACUCAAACAUCUUCAGGGCAAAAAGCAGGACAGCAAUGGCAGUUACAUUAAAAAGAAGGAUAUCUGACAAUCCUAAUUUGCC